CUCUUCCCAUCUUGGCAGAAGGAGAAGAAGAGAGUAGUUGAAUUGGUAAAGUGCUCGAUAGGGACUCGCAACGGAGGCAGGAAUCUAACCUAUCCUAAUGUGUGUGCGCGGCUGCGCGCCAUGAGUGUAUGCGUAAACACUUUUUAAUGAAACGUAAAUUCGUCCC